UACAUAGGUGGCAAGCGUUGUCCGGAAUUAUUGGGCGUAAAGCGCGCGCAGGCGGCCUUUUAAGUCUGAUGUGAAAGCCCACGGCUCAACCGUGGAAGGUCAUUGGAAACUGAAAGGCUUGAGUACAGAAGAGGAAAGCGGAAUUCCACGUGUAGCGGUGAAAUGCGUAGAGAUGUGGAGGAACACCAGUGGCGAAGGCGGCUUUCUGGUCUGUAACUGACGCUGAGGCGCGAAAGCGUGGGGAGCAAACAGG
rnacentral:rRNA from 1 species